AAGACUAUAGACCUGCGGAGUACCUGCGGAAGGAUCAUUACCUAGAGUUUGUAGACUUCGGUCUGCUACCUCUUACCCAUGUCUUUUGAGUACCUUCGUUUCCUCGGCGGGUCCGCCCGCCGAUUGGACAACAUUCAAACCCUUUGCAGUUGCAAUCAGCGUCUGAAAAAACAUAAUAGUUACAACUUUUAACAACGGAUCUCU
rnacentral:misc_RNA from 1 species